UGGGGUAUCGUCUAAUGGCAGGACAGCUGGUUUUGGUCCAGUCAAUCGAGGUUCGAGUCCUUGUACCCCAG
rnacentral:tRNA from 1 species